CUGCAACGGUCAUAACUGGUUUCAACUGCAAAAGAUGGCUAAAAGAAGACUAUCUGAAAAAGUUGUGGAAUUCUAAUGGUUCCAAAACAUUCCAGUGAGAUGAAAAAUGACAAGAUGAAAUAAUUUCACUACAAGAAGCAAGAAGGAAAGUACAAAGAAAGUUUGGGGGAAAGGUGAGCAUCAAAACAAGCAUAGAAUGACCAUGUCAAUUACAAUUUGAGUUUACAGCAUAGUUUCUGUCUAGUAUUUAUAAAUCACACCUGUACCAAUAAAGAAUUAAUUACCAAGACACAGUAAACAAUAGAUGGACACUGUAUUAUGAUAGCCAAAGGAAAAAUGGAAUAAGACUCUUUUCUGCACAAAUACUACAAGCCGCCCUGAGUCUCCGGAAAAGGGGGCAUAUAAAUCAAAAAAAAAAAAAAAAAGUAUAAAAACUUGCUUAGGUUUGCAACUUGUCCAGGUCUUAGCAAGAACAAGCUAAAGUGUAUUCUUAGCAAUAUGGUGGCAUUUUUAACUCUGAUUGUUUAAUGUCAUCAUCCAUUUUGGAAUGGGUCAAUGAAUCUACUCAAUGUUACUUGAUCCUUUAUAGGUUCAGUCUGAUGUAUGCUGCCCAGUCUUCAGAUUGUGGAGGGAUAUAAAAAUUACAAAAUUAAUAAAUAAAAGAAAUGGAAAGUA